GACGAACGCUGGCGGCGUGCUUAACACAUGCAAGUCGAACGGAAAGGCCCUGCUUUUGUGGGGUGCUCGAGUGGCGAACGGGUGAGUAACACGUGAGUAACCUGCCCUUGACUUUGGGAUAACUUCAGGAAACUGGGGCUAAUACCGGAUAGGAUCUCCUGCUGCAUGGUGGGGGUUGGAAAGUUUCGGCGGUUGGGGAUGGACUCGCGGCUUAUCAGCUUGUUGGUGGGGUAGUGGCUUACCAAGGGUUUGACGGGUAGCCGGCCUGAGAGGGUGACCGGCCACAUUGGGACUGAGAUACGGCCCAGACUCCUACGGGAGGCAGCAGGGGGGAAUAUUGCACAAUGGGCGGAAGCCUGAUGCAGCAACGCCGCGUGCGGGAUGACGGCCUUCGGGUUGUAAACCGCUUUCGCCUGUGACGAGGCGUGAGUGACGGUAAUGGGUAAAGAAGCACCGGCUAACUACGUG
rnacentral:rRNA from 1 species